GGGCGAAUAGCUCAGUGGUAGAGCACCUGCCUUACAAGCAGGGGGUCACAGGUUCGAGACCUGUUUCGCCCACCA
rnacentral:tRNA from 1 species